CUAAGUGACCUUUAAAGGUCCCUUCCAACUCAAACGAUACUGUGAUGCUAAAUCUGUAAAAUUUGUAAGGAGAUGAAAGCUGACAAAAGGUUGAGGGCAAUAAGUAAUGAAUAAUGAUAUUUCUCCAGAAGAAAAUUGCACUCUUUGGCAAACCUUUGCUGAAUGGUUAUGGAGACCAAACAGUGACUGUCCAUUGCAGAGGAAUUGUACUAGAUGACCUUUUGUGAUACCUUCCAACUGAAAUGAUUCAUGUGAGCAUGGUGAGGCAAUGGGUGGUGUUUUUCAGCAGAGGUGAUAGUGGUCAUCUCAGCUGGUGCGGAUUUAUGCAAAUGCAGGCUCUUGUUCUUUGCUGGUGAAAAUUGCACAGCUAAGAGUGGUGACUAUGCUGAAAAACAGUGUUUUGUAGCUGAGGAUUUGCUCUAUCAAAUAGUGUUAUCAUGUUCUUUCUAUCAUAUUUUCCAUGGUAAUAAAUAGGAGGCAUUACAUUCUGAGUAAUCUAUGUAUUUCAUGUUGGUUUAAAGGAGUCCUGAGUUCACUGGGAUCGUGGGCUAAAUGCUAUUGUGAGAAUGGAGGAAGUCUACAGUUAAAAAGCACAAUGAAUUAAUUACAUCUUGUUUUGUAUUAAGUUAUUACUUUGAAAGCAGAAACUGUUGUGUGAGAGUACUAGGCGCUCUUGUCUGAAUCUUUUUCUGCAAAGAAACCAGAAAAGGCAAAAGUAUCUAAUAUGUUACUUGAUCUCCUAAUAAAAAAUGGAUAUGAACAAAUGUAUAUCUUUUCUGGUAAAAACAUGAGAAAAGCUUUUGGCAGGAAACGAGUAGGUUAAGAAACAGGAAGACUUAGGGACAAGUAUGAGUUGGUAGAGCUUUGGUGAUGUGCACUUAUAACAUAUGUUACAAAGCACAUUCACUCAUUAAGCGUAUGAAAUAAAACGUGCACUUGUUUUCAGGACACAGGUCAGAAACUUGUAAUCACCUUAGAGAAGUGAGAAAAGGUUUAAAAGAAAAAUGAAAAACCAAAGAAAUUAAUGAAGGAUGCUGUAAUGACAAUCCAGUCUUACAUCUAAGACAGCAAAGAUUGAAUGCACUAUGAUGUGUAAUUCAGUGUAAUAUUCAGUGUUACUAAAGUUGAAUGAUAAAUUGGAACUGCACAGCAUGGAGUAGGGAACAGUAGCCAACACUGAACGUUAGGAAGGGAUCAAAUAUUGUAUGAGAUAAUUAUCCGAACAAGCUUCAGGUGAAUAUAAUACACUGUUCAACUUAUUGGGAAGUCAGAUAAUUUAAAGAGCGUGUACUGGAAAAGUGCAGUAACAAUGGACUGGCAGUUAGAUUUAAAAAAAAGAACAAUAUUAGGCUGAACUAGCACCUCACCAUUUUACUGAGCAGUGGCCUAUUGUAAGAUUAUAGUGCAGAGAAGAAAAGAAAUAGAGAUAGUAGGGUUUACAGAAAGCAAAUAGUCAUUUUGUCUAUUAAGUGAGAGUCUAACUCAGUGCAAUGUAAGGGUGAAAUCAAGAUGCUAUGAUUCAUAAAUGUAAAGGCAAUAAAAUGGAAAUACAAAAUGAUUCAUUGAUCGCUUCAUUUGGAAGACAGUAAGCAGUCUGGUGGUUUUAGCAGCAAAGAUGAGAUGUAUAAAAUAACAAAAUUCGCAGAACCCUGAUCUUUUUGGGGGCCAUAACAGAAAUUACUUUUGAAAGGAGAAAUGUUAGACAGGUGUAUCCUUCUCAGUCCUUUCUUUUUAAAUUUUCUUCUUUUCAAAAGAACUGGACUAUUUAUCUUUCCUCCCUAAAUUAAUGAAUCAUGAAAAACAGUGAUUGUGAUUUCUAGUGCUCACUUAACAGGAAUGCCUUAAAACAGAAAAGUGUAACCUUCUCAUAAUUAAAAUCUUGAGGAGGAUUUUCUGCAUGCACAUUAAUUUUUAUUUUUUUAAUGCUGAAACACAAACCCAACAUCAAUACUGUGUAUAUUUCCAGGGAUUUUACUUCAAACUGACUCUAAUCUGUUCCUGUGGAAUAAAAUCUCAUUAAUAGCUGAUGCUUCGCUGCAUGAAGCAAAGAACUGAGCAGGGAAAGAUCAUCAAUCUAGCUAGCUACUUAUCUAUAUGUACACACACACACACACACACACAAUUGGUUUCAAUAUAUAUGAUUAAAGCACAUGAAUCAAUAAAGAUCUUGAGAUAAAUUAAAUCAAAAAAUGUAGUAAAGACCUUGAGUUACUCAGAAUUUUUGAAUCCCAUGUUUAUUCUUUACCUUAAAAGGUUAUGAUCUUCUCUUUAUUCCUUUCCCACAGGGCUGUCAGAUCUGAAUGAGCUGGUUCUAAAGACAAUAUUCUAUAUUACAAUAGCAGUUUAAAUUGCAGUAGCAUUUAUACAGAAUUAUAAAACUGACGCACUGACUCUUUGGUCUCGUUUCUGAGAUUUUUAAAUAAUUAUAGUAAUUGCUUGCACUGUAGCAUACAGUGGCCCUACUCACAGGUUAAGGAACCAUUUGUGCUAGUCACUACAAUAAUCAGAAAGAAAAAGAUGUCUGAAGUUGUGUACCAAAUACAAUUCAGCUGUUGGUAUGUGCAGAAUUGGAAGCUGAUGAAUAGCUUAAUUCAUGUAAUGGAUUAUUUUGUAUAGACACAAUCUCACCUUUUCCAAGUUUACCUUGGGAAUAGUAACAGAGUAUUUUAAUUUGGAAUUAAUAGGAAAAUAAUGAAAUCUGUUUGUUUUCAUUUUCUUUUGUUUGUAUGUAGCUUUUUGUUUUCUUCUUCAGGAAGAGAUUAAAUCUUAUGUUGCUCAGCCAAGUGGAAGCCAUAGGGCUUGGGCCAGGAGCAUAUAAGCAAAAAAGUAUCUGCAUUUCCCUGAAAAAGGCUUUUUGAGAGAAGAAAGACGGGGGGAAAAAAAAAAAACAGGCUGAAAUGGUUUUGUAUGUGUUUCUAUAAAAAAGACUUCUGUACUGUGAAGAACAGCACAAGGCAAAGAACAAAUGUGUUUGUUGCUAACUCUAGUAAACCACUGAACAAGCUGAGAUCAGAAGUUAAUCAGUGAUGGCACUUGAUGUAUCAGUACUUCAUGUGAAACGACGAGUUGAAGGAAAGGCCAUAUCGGCACGUGACAGGAAGGUUAUCUGUGAUGUGAAAGAAGAGAAAUGCUCCUUGCAGAAGCGUUUUGGAUGGCUGUCAGUAAAGAAAUCAGUACUCAUAAGAUCAGUAGAAAGGUGUAGGGAUGUAAGAUUAAAGCUGGACAAAAACAUAUGGAUGAAAUAAGGCCCAGUGAUGACAGAGAUGGGGAAGUCCAAGUCCAACUGGUGUCAAGAUAAGGGACCUCAUCAAAGAGUAUCCAAGAGUGAUUCUCCUGGAUCACUCUUCGCCGUUAGCCCCUGGUCCUCUCUCUGAGAAAGGUAAGUUAUAGAUUCUUCUGGAAGAGAACUAAUAUAAAAACAGAGAAGACAAGGAUGGCAAUACUGACCACAGAAAUAACCCUUGGAUAUAUUAAAAGGAAAUUUGGGACAGAGGAGGUUGACCAAUACAGUAGAGCUAAGGUAUUAUCUCAUUUGGUUUUACACAAGUCAGACUAACUUGAAUAGAAAGUUGAAAGAUCUUUCUCCCACUUCCCUUCCUGAUAUCAUCUCAGUAGAAGCUGCCAAUCUAGUCCCUCAAGUAAUUUCCUGGAAAGAAAAAUAACAGAAAUACUAGACAUAACAAAGAUAACGUUUCUAAAAGCUAAUGGAGAGAGGAAAAAAAAUAAAAUACAAUCCAAACCCAAGAACAACAAACCAGAGUUUUAGACACAAUCUGCAAAGAUAGAUACCUGCUUCCUGUCAUUGUAGGUCAUUCUUCAGUGCUUCAUCUUGAUAUGAAUAGAUCCCUCAAAUAGUUAACUUAGCCAAGGGAGGAUUCAGAUCAAUCCUCCUCACUCCAGCCAUGCCUCCUUCUAAAUCAAUAAUGGUUGAUGAAUACCUCUGCCAAGCUCACAACACGGACACAAUGGAAACCCUGCUCUUUCAGAAAGUGCCUUUGGAAGCCCUUUGGAUAAGAGGUGCUUUACUGCUUCUCUGUGAAAUCUCAGCAAUGAAGCUGAAUUCCUGAUGAUGCUGCCAUUCUGCAGAAGCAGCGCUGUACUGGUAACCUGCACCUUUCUGCUCUUUGAGGGUUUUAGCUAUUUGAAUUCUUUUCCAAAUGAAUUCAAACGCACACUCUGUACAGCUUUCAUCUUUAAAAGAAGCUUUUUUUUCUUUUUUUUUUUCAAGCUAGCUUCUGCUUUCAAAACACAUCCAACUUUGUUUCUCAAAAAAAAAAAAUCUCUCUCUGAUAAUUGGAAAAGUGACUUGAUUAUACUUAAGUUUUGUAAGCAAUGCAAGCUAUCUGAAUUAAAAUUGAGUUGGGGGAGGUUCAUGUUUUGCAAAAAUAAGGAAAAGGUAGGACAACAAUUUUUUUUUCCUUCCAGUUCACGUACAUAAUUGAAAUCUCUAAACUGCAGUAAAAGAAAAAUCUGUUAACUAGAAAGAUGCUCAGUAAAAGCUAUGUCUGAUUAUAAUUCACGGGAGCAUUAUCCAUAAUUAACAAUACUUUACAGGUUAUUUACUUAUUAAAAAAAAAAAGCAACCAAUAAUUAAUGAUAAAUAUCGCUUUUUGAGGGCAUGUGAAACUACAAUACUAAAAUAAAACUGAAGUUACAAGCAUACCACUCUAGCAUAUGCAGUCAGGCUUGGCAGUUGGUUAUAAGUACAGAUUUAUGGCUAGAAGGAUGCAUUCUCCUUGAAGCUGUUUGCGCAACCUACUUAGCAGAAGAAAGAGAUUUCCUGGAGAUUUCUUUUAAUUAGCUUGAACAGCCAUUAGUAAAACAAGCAACUAAAACCAUAAGUAUAUAAGCUAUUAGUCUUGAAGCAUAGUUUAUACAAAAAUAAUAAUUAAAAAUAUAUCCUAAAAUUCAAUAAGGGAGCAGCCAGGUUCAUAAUAACCAUUUCUGCAUGGACAACAGUGUUUAUAAGAGCCUAGUAAGGGAAAAGAUAGCAGUCUGUCAGUGAAGAUAACAAGCAGAGAGGACAAACUUGAUCCAUAUUAAUAUGGUUUAUGCCCCUUACUUCUUAAGCUCCUGAAAGGCUCCACUUAUCCUUGUGGCAAUUAGAAGUAAUCAUCAGUGCCAGUGAUGCAUUUGUACUAGGUUAUUAAUAUAAGGAAAUGUCCUUUCCAAAAAAUUUGAAUCAGAUGAACUUUAAAGUUUAAAACAUUGCUGGUGCACUUUGUCUGUUUACUGGAGUAGCCACUUCCCAUGAAGUAUGAUUCAAAUACGAAUUGUGUGGUUCGCUUCCAGAGGCUCACAUGCGGGAAUAGAUCUGUUCCUUCUAUUAACGGCAAAGAGAAUUGCAUGAUUCAUUCUGCUCACACCAGGCUAAAAUAUACCCCUGCGGUUCUGUACUAUGUAUAUUGACUUGAACAAAGCUUUGUGUAAUAAGAUUUAAAUUGUAAUGAGUCAUUAUGUCAACCUUUUGUGCUGGUAUUUUACAUAGCGAGUCUACUGCAUAGCGUGAGGUAUGCGACAGGAGAAAAUCCUAAUAAGUAUGAUAAGAUAGCAGUGGGUAGAUUAAAUAAUAAGGUUUGUUGCUUUUUUUUUAAAAAAAAAAGUUUUGACAAAAUUUUUCAUAGUCAUGGUUUUAAAAAGGUUGGGUAUUUGUGUGCUUAUCACAGAUGUUACCACCAGUCCAGAAUCCAUCACAUUUAGAUCUGUGUUCUCCUUUGCUUUUAGUGAGAAAGUUAUUUUUGUUUAUAGGUGCUUGAGGUGAUGUCAAAGUAGUUUUUCAAGAAUGUUUCAACAUUCAUGCACACUCACACAGUUUUCUAAUAAUCCUUUUAUCUGCCUGAAGCUGAAAUAAUUUUCUCAUAAGGAAGUGUUAUUGAGAGUUCCUUAUAAGUAACUAGAUGCAGACAUUGACUUCAUUAAAAAAUAAGUACAGUCCCAAAGAGCUUUUGAUAUUUUUUUUUUUUUUAAUUGCAUUACAUGUAGCGUAUGAACAUAAACUGCUUUGCUCAGAACUGCGCUUCUUUAAUUGCUUGAAUUAAAAUGAUUCCUGGAUCAGCAUUUUCUCUCAUUUUUUUCUAGUGUACACUGGUGGCACAAUACCAAGGUAUCUCUGAAGUUUCCAAAGCUGGCUGGAGCUGGAUGGGAGUUGGGGAAGUUAUUUUUGUGUUUACUGAAGAGAGAGUUAAAAAGCCUCUACCAAAGAACUUUAGCCUUACUGUGAUGAAGGAAUGGCUAUUUUGUGCAAAAUUAACAUCUUGCCUUCUUCUGGUGCUUACCUAUAAAGUUCCUAAAGAAAUAUGCCCCAGGAUUCCAUUUAGUAUUCAGAUUUUAAUUGGUAAAUCUUUCUCAUCUGCUCAAAAGGUUUUUACAAGAUAACCACCAGAAGCAGUGAAGUGAAAGCCACAGCACCGGCAGACAUCAUCAGUAUCUAAUAACUGAUGUCCUUCCUCCUUUUCUCCUGUUACAUGUGCUGUGUGAAAUGGUGUCAGUGAACUGAAGACAACCAAGCCUGCUUUUUAUUUCCCAACCCAUCCUUACAGUGUACCUUGUCUCACCUCCCAGAAAACUGACAGCAACCUGUACCCACCAC